rnacentral:rRNA from 1 species
UACGAAGGGGACUAGCGUUGUUCGGAAUUACUGGGCGUAAAGCGCACGUAGGCGGCUUCUUAAGUCGGUGGUGAAAUCCUGGAGCUCAACUCCAGAACUGCCUUCGAUACUGGGAAGCUCGAGUCCGGGAGAGGUGAGUGGAACUGCGAGUGUAGAGGUGAAAUUCGUAGAUAUUCGCAAGAACACCAGUGGCGAAGGCGGCUCACUGGUCCGGUACUGACGCUGAGGUGCGAAAGCGUGGGGAGCAAACAGG